AUACGUGCGUGAUAAUUACAUGCAAUUUAUCGUGCAGCCCUACUCUCCCCUAUGCCUAAAUCAUACACAAAAUCAUUUUGCUGUGUUUCCCACAGGAUUUUUUUGAGACUAUGGAGGAUAGCUGGACCUUGGUCUGCCUGGGGGAUCUGGGGCCAUGGCCUUGUAUUCAAAGGAAAGGUGAAAAAUGAGGAAGUCUGGGAACCACCGAAGAAGGCAGCCGUGAGGGACGGAAGUAUUCAUCAGAACGUGCCAGAGAACGAUAUUGGCAGUACAGGCUCAGGAUGGCGAAGAACAUAUUUAACAUCAGAGUACUCGGGUACUAUGGUCCUUUGGUAAUGACAAUAUUGUUUAGGUUUUGCUUUUGAUAGUGAAGCAGUAUUGAAGCACAUCACCAUCAGAUAUUUGUAGCAAGUGUUUCAUACACAGGACACUCAGGAAACAAAUUAACUUAAAGUAAUAAAGAAGUCACUACUGAAUUGUUUCCUUUCUUUUUAUCAGUGUCUUUUUUAUACCAGAUUAUAGGGAGUUGUCAAUGAGUAUUGAUUAAUUAUUGAUCAUUUUUACAGAUAAAAUCGUUAACUAUACCCAUCAGUAAUGAGAAACUUUUCAGUAAAAUUAAAACAAUUCAGUAAAAUUUACAUGAUUUAUGUAUUGAUGUUCAAUUAUCUGUGCUCAUGACUUGGUAACACUUUGCAUGGUUAAAGAAUAGGUGUAAUGUUCAAAAUGUAUUGGCUUAGUGUUUGUAGAAAUAACACUGAAUAAAUGCUGAUUAAUAAAUGAA